rnacentral:tmRNA from 1 species
GGGGUUGACUGGAUUUGACGGCAAGCCGAGAUGGUACGUAAGCACGCGGAGGCUCGUUGGCUACCUCCUUAAACUGAGUGAACACAAAUUUAAUUGGCAACUAUGAGUAUGCUCUCGCUGCCUAAUCGAAGUAUAGUAGAUUACUGGCUUUAUUCCGUCACAAGGUGACAGAACGAGACGUCGCUCCGAGGAUGUUGUUCCGAAUCCGAAGAAUCAGCGGCGCAGGUUAAAUCGGAAAUAGUCUGUGUAGGCUCCGAUGCUCAGAUGAAAUUUAGGAGAUAAGGCAGUGGUUGGUGGUCCAGGUCUUGCCACUGUUCGAAAACCGAAGUCUGGAAUAAGCGUGUAGAAAGCGUAUGGUUUCCUUGUGCGGACGAGGGUUCGACUCCCUCCAGCUCCACU